GCCCGGAUGGCUCAGCGGGAGAGCGCCCCGUUCACUCCGGGGAGGUCCCAGGUUCGAUCCCUGGUCCGGGCA
rnacentral:tRNA from 1 species